rnacentral:rRNA from 1 species
UACGUAGGGUCCGAGCGUUGUCCGGAAUUAUUGGGCGUAAAGAGCUCGUAGGCGGUUUGUCGCGUCUGCUGUGAAAUCCCGAGGCUCAACCUCGGGCCUGCAGUGGGUACGGGCAGACUGGAGUGCGGUAGGGGAGAAUGGAAUUCCUGGUGUAGCGGUGGAAUGCGCAGAUAUCAGGAGGAACACCGAUGGCGAAGGCAGUUCUCUGGGCCGUAACUGACGCUGAGGAGCGAAAGCGUGGGGAGCGAACGGG